rnacentral:rRNA from 1 species
GAUCAUGGCUCAGGACGAACGCUGGCGGCGCGCCUAACACAUGCAAGUCGAACGGAGCUUAGAUUUUGAAGUUUUCGGAUGGAUGAAUGUAAGCUUAGUGGCGGACGGGUUGAGUAACACGUGAGCAACCUGCCUUUCAGAGGGGGAUAACAGCCGGAAACGGCUGCUAAUACCGCAUGAUGUUGCGGGGGCACAUGCCCCUGCAACCAAAGGAGCAAUCCGCUGAAAGAUGGGCCCGCG